AGUGAACGCUGGCGGUAGGCCUAACACAUGUAAGUCGAACGGCAGCACAGUAAGAGCUUGCUCUUACGGGUGGCGAGUGGCGGACGGGUGAGGAAUACAUCGGAAUCUACUUUUUCGUGGGGGAUAACGUAGGGAAACUUACGCUAAUACCACAUACGACCUACGGGUGAAAGCAGGGGAUCUUCGGACCUUGCGCGAUUGAAUGAGCCGAUGUCGGAUUAGCUAGUUGGCGGGGUAAAGGCCCACCAAGGCGACGAUCCGUAGCUGGUCUGAGAGGAUGAUCAGCCACACUGGAACUGGGACACGGUCCAGACUCCUACGGGAGGCAGCAGUGGGGAAUAUUGGACAAUGGGCGCAAGCCUGAUCCAGCCAUACCGCGUGGGUGAAGAAGGCCUUCGGGUUGUAAAGCCCUUUUGUUGGGAAAGAAAAGCAGCAGGUUAAUACCCCGCUGUUCUGACGGUACCCAAAGAAUAAGCACCGGCUAACUUCGUG
rnacentral:rRNA from 1 species